rnacentral:rRNA from 1 species
CGAAGGGUCGCAAGCGUUAAUCGGUAAUUACGUGGGACGUAAAGCGCGCGUAGGUGGUUCGUUAAGUUGGAUGUGAAAGCCCCGGGCUCAACCUGGGAACUGCAUCCAAAAACUGGUCGAGCUAGAGUAUGGGCAGAGGGUGGUUGGAAUUUCCUGUGUAGCGGUAGAAAUGCGUAGAUAUAGGAAGGAACACCAGUGGCGAAGGCGACCACCUGGGCUAAUACUGACACUGAGGUGCGAAAAGCGUGGGGAGCAAACAGGAUU